rnacentral:lncRNA from 1 species
AGAGAAGAAGUGGUAUCUCGUUUGGAAGAACACUUUAUAAUUUUUGGUAUCAAGUGUGUGAUGAAAACUGCAAGGAAGAAUAUACUAAGGCACUAUGAUGUAAGACCAUUUAUUAAUUGUAAUUAUUGAGAAAGGGGGAUGCAACCAGAUCUUGGAAAGUUUAUUUUAGUCAUCCACUUAUUUAGGAAAGUGAAAAUAUUGUACAUCAUUAAAAUGAGAAAAGCUAUUCAAAAAUCAAUUAUUUUAUUUGUAUAGUUAGACACGCGGCGCAUGAAAUCAGAUAUUAACAUAUCAGUUAUCACCUAUGUCUGUAUCAUACACAUUUCUUUACGAUUUAUAAUAACAAAAACUUGUCCAAAAAGUUGUCUUUUAAGACGAUGAUAUGCGAUUCGUUAAUACGCAUCUUUAAAUUUGGAUCUUCGAUUUCUUCAAAAUUAAUGUGUAUAAAUUUUGUUAUUAAAUUUCUUAAAAGAAAAAAAUUAAUUUUAUAAAAGAUAAAAUAUUAACUGAUAUACAAUUAUUUUACAUUGAUAUUCACGUACAACAAAUCAUUGUACAAUUAUUGUUUUAAAUAAUUAUAAAAAUAAUUUAACAUAUUAUAAAUUAAUAAUUAUUAUAUAUUGAUUGUUGAUAUAAAAUUAAUUUUUAUCCAAAAUCUAUUUUAUAAUAAUCACAAUAUAAAUGAUAACGUGAUUAUAAAUUUAAAAGAUGAUCAUAAAUAAAGUAACUCAUACUAAGAUGCUAGUAACAUGGAUUUCAUAUUAGUGAACUCUAUCAAAGACUAGUUAAAAAAUGAUAAGAUAAUUUUACAAAAACCAAAAUAAAGGCUUGAUUUAACUAUAAUUUUAUUAUCUUAAUUUUAUGAAUUUAUGAAAUUGAUCAUUUUAUCUUAUAAGUCAAUAAUUUCAGUUCAUUUUUUAAUUUUUAACUAAAAAAUAAAGACAUGACAUACUUUAAUUAAUGAAUCUAAAUAAUAUUAUAUUAUAAAAUUAUAUAUUAUAUUAUUUAAAAUAUUUUAAAUUAUCAAUUUUUUAAUUUAAAAAUUUAAAAGAGAUUAAAACUAUUAACUUUUAAAAUAAAGAGAUCAGUUUCAUGAAUUGAUAAAAAAAAAUUAUAAUUCUAUAAAUUAAUAAAAUUAAAUAGAUUAAAAUCGUAAUUAAACUUAAAAUUUAUUAAAAAUUUAAUUCUCUCGUUAAACAGCGUUUAAUUGUCAUGUGAACAUCGAAUAAGAGACUAAUGACUUUUCUUUCGUACAUACGUGGAGUUCGAGAGAGUACUUUUUCUUACUGUAGUUUGAAAAUACAUGCUGCUGCUGGUUCUAAUUACUACUAUUAUUUUCUAAAUAUUUUAUAAAUAUAUCUUUCGUAAAAUAAUGUGAAAUAUUAACUGUAUUUACUAAUAUUUUAAAAAAUAUAUACAAAGAUAAAAAAAUUCAUUUACAUAAUAAAUAUAUUUUUAAAAAUUACAAUUUUUUAUAAAUAAAACAAAAUAAUUUUUUUAAAAUUUCUUAUAUUUAUUGCAAUUUUUUAAAAUCACUAGAGAAUGAUCUACACAAGAGAAUGAUCUAUAUUUAUUACAAUUUUAUGUUCAAAGGAAACGUCAAUGUUGAUAAUCUUAAAGUAAAUUUAUUGAAAAUACAUGCAAUAUCUAUUGACUUUGGAGUAGAUAAUGAAUCACGGUAGAGUUGGUCUUUGACAAUUUGGGUGUUUUUGGCCAUUGGAUAAUUCAAUAAAGUGGUGUUCUUGUAAAUAUUGAAUAUCAUUUUAUUUUCAUUUAUUGUAAAAUUAUUAAUAAUUAUUUUAUAAUCAAAGUUUUCUUUAAAAAAAUAUUUAAUUUAUAUUAAUUUAUAAUUGUAACAAAGGCAAUACUAUUUUAGUAUAAUUUAUUUUUAGCUUAUUGCAAUUUUAAUUUCUUUAUUUUUAUCGAUUCAAAAAAUUGGUCCAUCUAUUUUAAAAGUUAUCAAUUUUAAUUCAUUUAUUUGUUUUUUAUUUUUUAACUAAAAAAGCCAACGUGACAUGUUUUAAAUAGUAAAAUAUAUAAUACAGUAAUGUAGAAUAAUUAAUACUGAUGAAUUCAGAAUAAAACACCGUAAAUAUUUAACUAUUACUUUAAGAAAUUUUUCAUAUUUAUAAUUUAAUAAAUGAAAUAUGAAUAAUUAAUACAUCUAGAUAUUUCUAUAUUAAGAAAUUGUAUGUCACGUCAUAUAAAAUAUGUCAAGUCGUCAUUUUUUUUUCAAAAAUUUGAAUGAGAGGCAAAAACCGUAGACUUUUCAAAUAAUAGAAUUAAUUUUGUGAAUUGAUAGAAAUAUAUUAAAAAAUAAUUGCAAUUAAACCUUUAUAUUUUUUAAUUAUAAAUAUGUCUGUUUCGACAACUUUAUAAUUUUUUAUUAAAAAUUUUAUCUUUUAAAAACUAUUCUUAAAUAAACUUCUAAUAACUACAUUGAGUAAUCUUCCUGCUAUUUUAUUUUUUCCAUUUUAAUUUUUUUAUUAGUUUUUUUUGUUAAAUUACAUCUGCGGUCCCUUAACUUAAUUUCAGGUAACGUUUUAGUCCUUUAUAUUUUUUUUCCCGAGUUGGUCCUUUAUUUUAAUUUUAAGUGACAAUUUGAUAUUUUAUGUUUAAAUAUCAACAAUGUUGUCCUUUUUUUUUCUUCAAAAAUUCAAAAAAAUCAUCAAAAUUUUCAAACAAAACCCAUAAAAUUCAUUAUCAUCUUCAAUAAAAUACAAAUUCAAUCAAAUUCAUAACUUAAAUCUUAAAAUAAACUCAUAUUUUAAUUCCUUAUUUGAUGUUGUUGGAGAUAAAAAUAUGAGUGUAUUUGAAUAUUUGAAUUAUGAAUUUGAUAAAAUUUGCAUUAUAUUGAAGAUGAUUAUUAAUUUUAUGGGUUUUGGUUGAAAAUUUUGAAGAUUUUUUUUGAAUUUUUGUAUAAAAAAGGAUAACAUUGUUGAAAUUUUAAAAUAUAAAAUAUCAAAUUGUCAUUUAAAAUUAAAAUAAAGGACCAACUCGAAAAAAAAAAUUAAAACGUUACCUGAAAUUAAGUUAAAGGACCACAAAUGUAAUUUAGGCUGAUUUUUCAUUGCAAUUAAGCAAUUUCAAUGACGGAUUUAUGUUUUAAAAAAAUUCAACAAAUGAUAUAUGGAAAUUCAAUAAUCAUUUAGCUCAAUAAAAAAAAUACACACGAACACAUGAGUGCCAGCCUAUUUUUUUAAUUAUAAAUAUCUCUGUUUCGGAUUAGGUCCAGUUUGGAUCAAUUACCUUUAAAGUUUUUUUUUUUAUUAAAAAUCUUAUCUUUUAAAAAAUAUUCUUAAAAAAACUUCUGAAAACUUCAUCUUUCUACAAUUUAUUUUCCUUUUCAUUGUUUACUUUUUUCUAUUAAUUUUUUCAUUGCAAUUAAGAAUUUCAAAGACAGGUUUAUUUUAAAAAAUCCAAUAAAUGGUAUAUAAAGAAAUUCAAUAAUUGUAAAUACAUUUUAGCGCAAUAAAAAAUGAUAACAAAUGAACACACAAGUGCCUAAGAUUUUAACAAUUUCAAUUUAUGUUUUAUCAAUAUAGAUAUCCAAGAACAAGAAUGAUAUAAAAUUUUAAUAAUUUCCAUUUAUGUUUUAUCUAGCAAGAUAUCUAAGAAAGGGACUAUUAUCCUAAUUAAAAUACAUACUUAAUUUUACAUUUGGUCUGUUAUAUUUAUUUUAGGUUUCACUUUAAUCCCUAUUAGAAUUUCGGUUGAACUCUUAAUGUGGGACUCUUAAGUCUUAACAAUCUAUAUAUUUUAAAAGAUUUAUAAAGGAAGUUUGAUAAAUCAUAUAAUUUACACUUUUUUGAAGUUAAAUUAUAAAAAUUAUAAGUAUGGCUGAUAGGUAGAAGUACAAGUACAAUCUUCCUGAUGCGUGGUCAAGAAAAUCGGCUAAUACGACCUUUGAGCUCUUAUAAAAGGCAAGUUAUUAGAUAGACAUACCAUACUGUUCACAACAUUAUAAUUAUAUACUUUUUUUCAUGUAGAAUUUUCCUUUUCAAAAGAAAAAAUGAAUAUCUCACGUGUCAUAGAAGGUGUGACUUGUCAAAAAUGGUGUAGAGAGCGUGUAUAGGGUCAAAAAGAAUGUAUAAAGAUAUAUAAAUGGAUAUAAAAUUUUGUCACCGAUACGAGAUACAAUACUGGCUUAAUACGGCCUUUAAGUUCUAAUAAAAGGCAAUAUUAUUAGUACUACUUUUUCUUUUUACAUAAAGAGUUCAAGACGUGUCAUUCAUGAUAAAGGUACGUGAUUUAAUGGGUAACUACCACUUUUGUUGUAAGAUUAUCGUUGAUUUAGCUAUAAUUUUUAUAUUAGUCAUUAAAUGAUUAGAAUGAUCUUUGAAAAUAUAACUUACUGUUAUAAAAUCUUUAAAAUAUAAAAUUUAUUGUUAAAAUAGUAUGUAUUUAUUAUCAUGUUAUAAAUUAAAUUGAUUAAUAUUUUAAUAAUUAGAUGACAAAUUUAAAUUUUUGACUCAAUUAAAGACUAAAAUAAUAACGCUUUACAUUUUUAGAAACUAAAAUAAUGAUUUAAUAUUUCAAAACUAGUGGUUCAAAGAGUUGUUGUUAUUAAGAAUAACAUGAUCAAAGUAAUCAUAUAAGAAAAAUAAAUUUUGGAACUUGAUGGAAAAAAAGUAAUAUAAGGUUUCAUAUAUAUGGAAUAAAAAUAAAGAAAUUGAUACAUUGAGUUCUCCAUAUAAAGAGAAAUUAACUACCAAACUAAAAUCUAACAAACUAAUUGAAAAACUCUAACUAACAUUAUAUUUCUUCUAACAUCCUCCACAAAACUCAGAGUAAGAUGUCAUUAAUUUGAGUUUGGAUUAUAUUAUUCAUCCAGACACCCAUGACAAACUAAAGUCUGGUCCGUUUGUCGACUUGUCAUUCCUCACUUCGUCCACAACAAGUUUCGUAACACAAUUAUAAGGUAUUUGAGAACAAUAGACAAAUAAACAGGAGAACCGUAUCCGACACGCUGCACAUAACAAUAGACUUUUCUUGACCUGGAGAUUAAUUAGUUUUAGGUUUUAGUUUUAAGGUUUUGAGGUAAGAUGUGAUAUUCAAUUCACUUGUUUGACUGCUCUUAGUCGAAUGUGGUGAUCCCACAAACUCCUUUAUGAUCCCACAAAUUUCACUGUUGUAUAUUUUCCGGAAAAAUUGAAAUAAAUUUUCCAAUACUUCCGAAAAACUUUAAAAAAGAUUUAUAUGAGGCAUUUAUAUCUUUUCCUUUAGUUUGUAUUGGUACAGGAACAAUUUGGAAGGAAAAUUUUCCCUUGUACCCACUCAUUUAUCCCUAUACUCCCAAAAGUAAAGGAAAAAUACUAAAAUACCCUCAUAUAUAUAUAAAUAUUUUUUUUUAAUUUCUUCAUUUAACAUUUCCGGAACAGAAACAACAAGCAAAAAAAAAAAAUUCCGGAAAACUUCUUUCAAGUUUUCCGGUACACAACUUUUCCGGAAAACUUGAAAAAAGUUUUCCGGUACAGAACAUCAUUUUCGAAAAACUUCAACGUAACAUUUCCGGAAACCACCGAAAAACUUCAUGCACAUGUUUUCCGGUAGUUGUUUGAUUUUUUUUUUAAAUAUUUUUUAAAAUAAUUUUUUUGUUUUAUUUUUUUUAUUAUAUUAGUAUUUAUUUGAUUUUAACUAAGAUCUUGUUAAGGAAGUAGUAUUAAUUAUUAAUUAUGGUGUAUUAAUUAUGAAUUAUUAUGGUAUAUUAAUAGUGUAUUAAUUAUUGAAUGGUGUAUUAAUUAUUAAUUAUUUAUGGUAUAUUUAUGUGUGUUAAUUAAUAUUUAUGAUGCGUUAAUUAUUGACUAAUGUAUUAUCAUUUAUAAAAGUAAUAAAAUUAAAAAAAAAAUUAAAAAAAUGUUGUGUACCGGAAAUCUUUUUGAGAAAGUUUUCUGGAAACACCUUCUGUACCGGAAAUCUUUGGAAUGAAGUUUUCCGGUAGUACAAUUUUUCACUUCUGUAUCGGAAAUCUUUUUUAAAGUUUUCCGGUAACAACUUUCUGUACCGGAAAACUUGAAAAAAGUUUUCUGAAAAUAAGGUGUGUACCGGAAAUCUUUUUUGUAGUUCCGGAAAAGAAUAAAUUAUAAAAAAAAAAAAAAAAAAAUUAAUAAGGGCAUAAUUGUCAUUUUCAAAAAAUUAUGGGGGUAUAGGUAUAAAAAUGGGGGUACAGGGGAAAUUUUUCAUUUGGAAGAUAUAGAGUAAAAUUUUCUUAUUAUAAGCAUUUCAUACAAUACACGGCCCAAUGCAUUUUUGGCGAUGUUCAAACCAUACGGUAUACCAUCCAACAAAAACUAUCCGAACUAAUUAUAAGCAUUUUAUAUAGUACACGGCCCAAUACAUUUUUGGUGAUGUUAAAAACCAUAUAGUACACAACCCACCAAUAUCCAAAGAUUAGGAAGUCUUAAUCAAUAUCCCACCGUUAAAAUUUAGGAUUGAAUAUGUUUUUAGAUUUUAUAGAAUUUUAAAUUUUCAAUUUUAGUAAUUGUAUUUGUAAGUUAAGUUAUAACUCAACUGACAAAUGUCAAAAUUAUUUGGUUAAAUAUUUUGUUUAUGGUUCGAACUUAAGUCGCAUUUGUGUAUGAGUUUUUGGUGCUAUUUACAAUUAUGUCUACUAACCCAAAAAAAUUACAACUUUUAAUCGUAGAAAAUAUCAUGCAUAUAGUUUUAAUCUUUACUGUUAAAUCAACGUAUAUUUUUAAAAGAUUUUUUGCAGAUAUUUUAACAACAUUAUAAAAAGUUUGUAAACAAAAAUUAAGCUCAAAAUUUAAUUUCUAGUCCAUAUUUUUAUUACUUUUAUCUUAAGUUUUUUAUAUUUAAAAAAUUUAUAUUUAAUUUAUCGAAAGUUAAAAAUAAAUCUUAAUUUUUGUAAAUGAACUUUUUAUAAUAUUAUAAAAAUAAUUACGAAAAAUCAUUCGAAAAUUUUGUGAAUGCAUAGAUUUCCUAGUUGUUCUAGUCUAAGUUUUAUCUUUGAUUUCGAUGAUUGUUUCUUAAGUUAGAUUUAGAAUCUAUACAUGUCUUUGUUGAUUUCACUUAUCCACCUUAUGCUUGAGCAAAAAGUAACUCGAGGAAAUUGACAUUUGAAUCAUGCAUAGUUAAAUGCUUCAUUAACACUCUUUUAAAUUUAUUACUUCUCAUUUCAAAUGAUUUUACACAUGUUUUUUGAAUCUGUUUGAAUAGAUUCAAGGAAUGUUUGAAUAUAUUCAAACCGUAAGUCUUAACAGAUUUAGUGUUUCCUUGAUUUGAAUCAAGCAUUAGUUAGGGAAACUCCUUGAAUCGAUUCAAUGUUUCAUUGAUUUGGAUCAAGUUUGUCCAUGAUUUCUUGAAUCCAUUCAAAGAUUAUUUGAUCUAUAUCACAUUAAAAAAAAAGUUUUGUUUUUUGUUCUUUUUUUUUCAAUGUUAGUUUCUUACACCCAUAAAUAAUCAUCUUGGAACUUUUAAUAAUUUAACAUUCUGAAAUUCAUCUCAAUAUUUUCAACCUCUCAAGUUAAAAAAAUUUAUUGAAAGGGGUUUUUUAGAGGGAUUUGAAUCUUCAUCAUUGAAAGAGAGCUUUCUUGUUGAAGAUUGCAAAAUGUUGAUUUUGGAGUUGUCAAAAUCAAGUGCUAGAAGUGGGAUUCAUAGAAGAAACUCUCAUAAAAGAAUCUUGUAUUAUUGCACAACUAUGUUAAUGGAAGAAACUCUCAUCAAAAUUUGGUUUUAUAUCUUAACUCUAUCCUUCUUUAAUUUUCUGCAUUGAAAUGACAAUUUGUGUACAGAUAAAUUCUGAUUUUUGUGUUCUUGAGAAAUUAUGAAGUGUUUAAAACAAAAUUUUAUUUUCUUAAUCAAUUCAUAUUGAAGAUAUUAAUACAAUUGUUUCAAGUUUUUUUUUUUUGUUAAUGUGCUAUGCUGAAUUUUUCUGUAAUCAUUCAUUUGUAGAGUUGAUUGAUUCUAUAUUUAUACAAUUACUAAGUUAACUGAAUUUCCUUUCAAUUAAAUUUUCAAUUUAUUUAUUCACAACCUUUAUCUAAAUUGGUGUUUAGCAAUUCGAAGAAAUAUUUUUUUGUAAAGUAUCAAGCAUGUGUAAUCGAUUCAAUAUUUUUAAAAAUUAUGUUUUUUUUUCUUUUUUUUUGAAAUCCUAUUCUCGCCUCUAGAAUUUUGGUGCCUUUACAACUAACAAUUUUAAAUUUGAAAAAUAAUUAAAUAUGUUUCUUUUCACAACUAACAAUUUUUAAAUUUAAAAAAUAAUUAAAUAUGUUUCUUUUCGACAGAUAAUAAAAUAGUUUAUUGAUAAUUUUAAAAGAACUGAAAGUUGUAUUUUUUUUUACAGUGACUAUAAUUGAAAAGUUAGAAUUUUAUAGAGACUAAAACGAUGCAUCAUAACUCUACAAUUUAUUGGGUUAGCAACUUAUUUCCAAUAAAUUUUAAAUGUUAAUUAGAUAAUUAACCUAACUUAGUCACGAUUCAAAGAUGAAUGAUUCAUUUUCGUAUAAAUCUAUCAGUCGUCGAACUUUUUGAGCUGAUCUAUUUUGCCUGCCAUUUUAGGCGGUUUGAGUUAAAGAUUUUAAUUCAUCUAUCUAAAUUGGUCAAUUUCGUUUAUAUAGUUACACGUUUAACUGUAUAAAUAAACUAAGAACCUAAUAAAAAAUGGUAGGUCAUUCAUUACUAAGUAAUUAAAAACACUUUAGUAUUUUAAGUUGAUGUACAUAAUAUUAAUUAAAGUAUAGGGUAAAAUAAUAAUAAUAAUAAUAAUAAUAAUAAUAAUAAUAAUAAUAAUAAUAAUAAUAAUAAAUAUUACAUUUAAAUUAAAAAAUAUAAUUCAUUUUAGAAUGUUUUUGUUAUAAAAAAUACGACAAUUAUUGUGGCGGAAAGAGUAACUUAUUCCAUAUAUAUAUAUAAAGCAACUAAUGAUAGGAAAUUAAAUCAGAUUUCACAGGUCCAGCUAUUAAAUGACAUUUGAAUUUAAGAUAUCAAUUAAUUCUAAUAACAAACUAAAACGUUCAUAUAGGCUUGUAAUAGUAGUAUUAAUUUGACUAUUAGGUAUAAAAUGUGGUUGGUGACUAUAAGCUAGGGUCAUGCAAUGGCAUAUGCUCAACAACUCAUUAGCAUCAACCUCCUUAUAAAAAUGAGAACCCACAUAAUUAAUUUUGUGUAGAAAAGAGAGAGAGAGAGAAUAAGAUAAUAUCAAAUUAAUGGGUAAGUGGUUGUGCAUCUUGGUGGUUUUGGCUAUGGUCGUGGUUGCAACAAGUGCAAGGAAUGUGCCCAUUGGAGGCACUAAUUUGAAGGAACAAAAAUGCAUUGGCAGGUUUGGUACUGGUGUAGGUGCUGAUCUUGGUAUGCCCCUAAUUGGUGGCCUUGGUGGUUUCGGUGGAACUGCUUUUACCGGCCGUCGUAUUCCUCAACCUUGAAUUAUGGCUUUAACUUAUUUUCAUUCUCGUCUUGAAUAUAAAAAAAUAUUUAAUCAAUAAAAAUUAAUAUAUUUAGUAUAAAAUUUAUACUAAAUAUAUUUAUUUUUAUUGAUUUACUUUUUCUUAUAUUUGAGAUUGAAUAAAUUAUAUAUAAUAUCAUAUAUGGCAUCUUAUUAUUAUUAUAAGAGAAUAAAAUGAUUAGUAUGAUGUCAUGAUUAAUGUUUUAGUGUUUUAUGAUUUUUUGCCAAGAAAAAAGAUCAGUACGUACUAGCUUGUUUUUGUAAUGUAUGGAUGUGUUGUUCCUUUUUAUGUAAGGGAAGAUAUAUUAUGCAUGAUUUCACCUUCUUAUGAUAUGAAAAAAUAACUUUAUUUUUUCCUAGAUUCACCAUGAACCCAUCAAUGAUUGUCACCCUUCUCUAUGGAACACAGUUCAAGGUCAAAACCUUCACAACCACCUAGGACAAGGACACAUCACACAUUAACUAUAAAACUGGAAAUAUAUCCAAUUCCAUGAGGACUUU